rnacentral:rRNA from 1 species
CACGUAGGCACCAAGCGUUGUCCGGAUUUAUUGGGCGUAAAGAGCUCGUAGGCGGUUCGGUAAGUCGGGUGUGAAAACUUUGGGCUCAACCCAAAGCGUGCACUCGAUACUGCCAUGACUAGAGUUCGGUAGGGGAGUGGGGAAUUCCUAGUGUAGCGGUGAAAUGCGCAGAUAUCUGGAGGAACACCGGUGGCGAAGGCGGCAUCCUGGACCGGUAUUGACGCUGAGGCGCGAAAGCCAGGGGAGCAAACGGG